CUAUUUGAGAGAGUAAGACUGAUAGUUUCAUCUCCAGCAGAAACCAUGAAUAAGUCUUCAUUUUUGCCUCUUCUCCUUUUGCUUGCUGUUAUAAUUUCAAGUGGUAGCGUGAUGGGAGAAGUUGGGGAGUGCAUAUUCAAUUAUCAAAUUCCCCACUGCACACCUGCCGAAUGUCACAAGCUCUGUAGUCAAUACUAUUCCAAAUUUCCAGGAGUAAAAUCACACUGCCCCAGUAAUACUGGUUGCACCUGCAAUAUAUGUAGUGGAUGAUUGUGCUUCACCAUUCUGUGACAUGUAAUGCCUGGAUGAGCAUUCUAGUGUCUUGCAAUAAAUCAUGAGACUAGAUCUGUGAUAUCUUUCCAAUAAGGGAAUAAAUAAAUAUGAUUUCUGAAA